rnacentral:rRNA from 1 species
CGUUACCAAACUGUUGCCUCGGCGGGAUCUCUGCCCCGGGUGCGUCGCAGCCCCGGACCAAGGCGCCCGCCGGAGGACCAACCAAAACUCUUUUUGUAUACCCCCUCGCGGGUUUUUUAUAAUCUGAGCCUUCUCGGCGCCUCUCGUAGGCGUUUCGAAAAUGAAUCAAAACUUUCAACAACGGAUCUCUUGGUUCUGGCAUCGAUGAAGAACGCAGCGAAAUGCGAUAAGUAAUGUGAAUUGCAGAAUUCAGUGAAUCAUCGAAUCUUUGAACGCACAUUGCGCCCGCCAGUAUUCUGGCGGGCAUGCCUGUCCGAGCGUCAUUUCAACCCUCGAACCCCUCCGGGGGGUCGGCGUUGGGGAUCGGCCCUCCCUUAGCGGGUGGCCGUCUCCGAAAUACAGUGGCGGUCUCGCCGCAGCCUCUCCUGCGCAGUAGUUUGCACACUCGCAUCGGGAGCGCGGCGCGUCCACAGCCGUUAAACACCCAACUUCUGAAAUGUUGACCUCGGAUCAGGUAGGAAUACCCGCUGAACUUAAGCAU